AAAAACUCUGUACAUAUCCGACAUCAGAAGGAGCACACUCUGGACACGCCGCCUUUAAGAACUGUAGCACUCGCCGCAAGGGUCCGCGGCUUCAUUCUUGAAGUCAGUGAGACCAAGAACCCACCAAUUCUGGACACACUACUAGGUAAGAAUAAGGACCAGAGAAGAGAGAACCAAUGAAAAUUGUAGCCUCCAAACUUCAACAGAGAGUUUGAAUGAAACUCACUAGACUUCCGCCAUUUCCGUGUGAAGACCAAGGUUGUCAAUCUGUGCCAUUUCUUGGAAAUUUUGCUGGAAUAAUGAAGGAGUUAAGACCAUACCACCCCAAAAUGUUCCACUCUGGCGUAUUUACUAUGUUGAUUUAAAGGCAAGUACAAGAAGCGAGACAGGUACAAGAUGAUCAUUCUGACCAUCUUCUGUUUAUUAAAAGCAGGAUAUACUUUUCUCAUGUGAAAAAAUGGCCUUCCUAAACCAGAAGGAAGGUACCAUUCUUAGCAAGGUUGGGAAGUCGAAGCCAAGGGGAAUCAGUACAAAGAAACCUCGUUGGAGUAAUCCUUAUAUUCUUAGUCAUCUCACUACCCAAUUUACUACUCUAGCCUAAGCUCCUUUGCUUUUUUUCCAUUGUCAUAAUUUACUACUCUUUGACCAAUUCAGUAUAAAUUUUCAAUUCUAACUGUGUCUUUGGGUCUUUAUUUUCUUAUGAUGGCUCCUGGGCCAUGUAAAACUUG
rnacentral:lncRNA from 1 species